rnacentral:rRNA from 1 species
ACUCAAAGGAAUUGACGGGGACCCGCACAAGCGGUGGAGCAUGUGGAUUAAUUCGAUACUAACCGAAGAACCUUACCCAGGUUUGACAUCGAGGGAAAGCCUAUGAAAGUAGGCCCUCGCUCACAAGGCGACCCGAAGACAGAUGUUGCAUGGCUGUCGUCAGCUCGUGCCGUGAGGUGUACGGUUAAGUCCGCCAACGAGCGCAACCCUCGUCGUGUGUUACCAGCGAGUAAUGUCGGGAACUCACACGAGACCGCCGGUGUAAGCCGGAGGAAGGUGGGGAUGACGUCAAGUCAGCAUGGCUCUUACGCCUGGGGCUUCACACAUGCUACAAUGGGCGCAACAAAGGGCAGCAAUACCGUGAGGUGGAGCUAAUCCCAAAAAUACGCCCCCAGUUCAGAUUGUAGUCUGCAACUCGACUACAUGAAGUCGGAAUCGCUAGUAAACGCAGGUCAGCUAUACUGCGUUGAAUACGUUCCCGGGUCUUGCACACACCGCCCGU